rnacentral:lncRNA from 1 species
ACUCUGCUCCCCAGCCUAAGCCAUAAUUAAAGGGGACAUUGAGACAUAUUGCUGUGCCCAGCACCUAUGUGAUGUGACUCUCCUUUCCUGCCCAGGCUAUGCCUAAAAGAAAUUGUUACAUAUCAUGGAGCCAAGAUCCCAGUUGAUUUAACUCUCCUGCUGGGCCCUGCUCACAUGGGAAAUAUUGGCAUAUUCCUUGCCUAGCACUCAGAAGGCGUUGUAACAUCUCACUAAGCCCAGCACUCAGGCGAUGUGGCUUUCCUGCUAUGGCACUGCACACAAGAAGAAUGUUGACAUAUUCCUGGCCCAGAAUUCAGGUGGAGAUGGAGCUCUCAUGCACGGAUCCUGUCCGAUGUUAAGACUGUGUCUCGUGUAUUUGGAUGCAACUCACAAGAGGUGUUGACUCUCAGACCUAAAGCUGGGAAAUAUGUAGAAUUGUGAAAUUUAUUCCUGGUCCUUCCCGCAGGUGUGAUUGUGGCGUAUAUGUUCACACAGCACUUAAUUUAUUUUACAAUUUGUUUGAACUCAGCCAACUGUUGGGACUGUGACAUAUACCUGGACCAAGUUCCUAGGUGAUGUAACUCUCCAGCCUGGGCCUUACCACAGGGUACAUUGUGACAUAUCUUUGGACUUAUCACCUAUGUGAUGUGACUCUACUGACUUGCCUUGUCUUGGCCUCCAUUGGGGAUUGUGGCAUAUUUCUGUGCCCAGUACCUAAGUUAUGUGACUCUUCUUUCCUGCUUGUGCAUUUAGAAGGGAUUGUGACAUAUUGCUGGGCCAAGAACCUAGGUGAUGUGACUCUCCUGCCUUGGCCCUGCCUUCAGGAAAAAUUGUGAUGUGACUCUGGGUUUAUUACCUAGAUGAUGUGACUCUUGUGUUCUGCAUGGGCAAGCCCAAAGGGGUCAUUGUGGCAUAUCUCUGGGCACAUCAAAGAAGUGGUGUAAUUUUUCUCUCAUUCCAGGACUCUAGUCUCAGUAGGGAUUGUGACAUAUCACUGGGCCCAUAACCUAUGUCAUGUGAUUCUAGUAUCCUGCUUGGGCCCUGCUUACAGGAAAGAUUGUGACAUUUGGCUGGGCCCAUCACCUAGUUAAUGUGACUCUCCUUUUCUUCCUGUGCCCUGCCCUCAGUGGAGAUUGUGACAAAUUUCUGGGCCAAUCAGCUGUGCAAUAUGACUCUGCUCUUUCCUGGGCCCUGCUAUCGGGGAGCAUUGUGACAUAUUGCCAGGCUCAGCACCUAGGUAAUGUGACUCUUCUUGCUGCCUGGGCCCUACUUACAGAAGGGAUUUUGAUGUAUUGCUGAACCAAGAAUUCAGAUGAUGUGACUCUCCUGCCUGUGCGCUGUCUACAGUGGGCAUUGUGACAUAUCAUUGGUGAUGUGACUCUCCUGCCUUGUUCCUGCCCACAGGUGAAAUUGUGGCAUAUACCUGGGUCCAGAUCACAGGCACAAUGAUGACUCUCUUACCUGGACACAGCCAGUGGGAAAUAUUUUGACUUUUGUAGCCAGGCUUAGGGCCACAGGUGGUUUGGUGACUCUCAAACCAUGAUUCAGCAGACCUGUGAGGCUGUGAGUUCCCUAUCAGAACACAAUCUGCAGGUUGUAUUGUGCCAUAUACCUGGGACCAAAUUACAAGCACAAUGAUGAAUCUUUUACCUGGAGUCAAGACAUGGGCAGGAUGAUGGAACUUAUCACUGGACCUUUCCACAGUGUUAUUGUGACAUAUGCCUUUGCCCAACAUGUGGUGAUUUGACUCCCCAGACUGGGUCCAGUUCACAAAUAAAAUUGUGCCGUAUACUUGGCCAAGAACCUAA